rnacentral:rRNA from 1 species
GACGAACGCUGGCGGCGUGCUUAACACAUGCAAGUCGAACGGAAAGGCUCCAGCUUGCUGGAGUACUCGAGUGGCGAACGGGUGAGUAACACGUGGGUAAUCUGCCCUGCACUCUGGGAUAAGCCUGGGAAACUGGGUCUAAUACUGGAUAUGACCUUUCUCCUUAUGGGGUUUGGGGGAAAGUUUUUCGGUGUAGGAUGGGCCCGCGGCCUAUCAGCUUGUUGGUGGGGUGAUGGCCUACCAAGGCGACGACGGGUAGCCGGCCUGAGAGGGUGAUCGGCCACAUUGGGACUGAGAUACGGCCCAGACUCCUACGGGAGGCAGCAGUGGGGAAUAUUGCACAAUGGGCGGAAGCCUGAUGCAGCGACGCCGCGUGAGGGAUGACGGCCUUCGGGUUGUAAACCUCUUUCAGCAGGAACGAAGCGUAAGUGACGGUACCUGCAGAAGAAGCACCGGCUAACUAUGUG